UCCGUAGGUGGAUCAAUCAGUCAGAGGUGAAAUCCUGCAGCUUAACUGUAGAACUGCCUUUGAUACUGUUGAUCUUGAGUCAUUAUGAAGUGGUUAGAAUGUGUAGUGUAGCGGUGAAAUGCAUAGAUAUUACACAGAAUACCGAUUGCGAAGGGAGAUCACUAAUAAUGUACUGACACUGAGGGACGAAAGCGUGGGGAGCGAACAGGAUUAGAUACCCUGGUAGUCC
rnacentral:rRNA from 1 species